CAUCGUCCUGGAACCCUGCCACCAUCGGGUUGCCGCCCAGGGCCUCCCCAUCACUGCAAAGCAGGGGGCAAAGCGGUCAAGGGCCACGGGGUAGGGAUGGCUGGCCGGGCUCACGGGCCUUGGUUCUAGGCGCCCUGGUACCCAGCACACCCUGGCCGUGGGGCCACCCCACCCCAGGUGCUGUGUUGUGGAGAGGCCCCCUCAUGGUCACAGGGCUUCUGAGCAGGAAGGGGUCGGGGGCACAAGGUUGGACACAGUGCUGCCCUGCGGCCGCUCAGUGGGUGAAGGAUGUGGAGCCGCACAAGUGGGCGCUCGUGGAGGAGGCGGGCCCAGCUCAGGGCCACGGGGCUUU
rnacentral:lncRNA from 1 species